UACGAAGGGGGCAAGCGUUGUUCGGAAUUAUUGGGCGUAAAGGGAGCGUAGGCGGUUCGGCAAGUCUUUAGUGAAAUCUCUGGGCUCAACUCAGAGUCUGCUGGAGAAACUGCCGGGCUGGAGUAUGGGAGAGGUGAGUGGAAUUCCCGGUGUAGCGGUGAAAUGCGUAGAUAACGGGAGGAACACCUGUGGCGAAAGCGGCUCACUGGACCAUUACUGACGCUGAUGCUCGAAAGCUAGGGGAGCAAACAGG
rnacentral:rRNA from 1 species